rnacentral:rRNA from 1 species
AGCAGUAGCCGCGGUAAUACGAAGGGUGCAAGCGUUACUCGGAAUUACUGGGCGUAAAGCGUGCGUAGGUGGUGGUUUAAGUCCGUUGUGAAAGCCCUGGGCUCAACCUGGGAAUUGCAGUGGAUACUGGAUCACUAGAGUGUGGUAGAGGAUAGUAGAAUUUCCGGUGUAGCAGUGAAAUGCGUAGAGAUCGGGAGGAACAUCAGUGGCGAAGGCGGCCAUCUGGGACAACACUGACGCUGAGGCACGAAAGCGUGGGGAGCAAACAGGAUUAGAGACCCCGGUAGUCCCUGUCUCUUAUAC